rnacentral:lncRNA from 1 species
GCCCAGACUGCGGGCUGCGCUUGGUCGGGCACCCCAGGCAAAAAAGAAAAAAAAAAAAGAGAAAGAAAGAGGAGGAGACAGUGAUUGCAGCCUCUCCCGGCGCAGGUGGCAGAGCCUUGCGGCUUUGGAGAGAGGUGGAGCCUUGGUGAGGUUGGGAGGACUGCCUAACUGCGAUCUUUUUCUCCAUUCUUCCUCCUGGGAACUUCUCCGCCCUGAAAGGGUAGCGUGAGCUUCAUGCCUUCGGCCGGCCGUGUUAUACUCGUUAGACCCAAUUCACCAUGAAUCCUUUGAAAGACUAGUGGAGAGUGAGAAGGGGGUUUCAAAGUCACUGGAGUAAAGGAAUUCUCCAAGCACCACCUCAUGAUUAAUUCUUGGAAAAGCCUGUUUGCGCGGCCCUUAGAAUCAUUUUGACUUCUUGUCUAAUGGUGAAGUUUUUCUCUGUAAUCCUUCUACUCUGUUUUCUAAAACCAGAACUAAAAACCUAAAAAAUUGUAAAACUUCAUGGUGUAAUUAAAACCCCUUCACCAUUUUUUUUAAGUAAGAUUGUGUGGCCUUAUUGCACAAUUUAAAUUCCUGGAAAAACCUCUUCCCAUCUGCAGUGUACAAGCAUUCUAACAUAUUAUGUCUCCUCACAGGGGGUUCUCCACACUGGCUGAACACCAGAAUCAACUGGGAGAAUUUUCUUGAAAACACUAACGCCUAGGCCCUACACAGAUCAAUUAAACCAGAAUCUCUGGACACAGGUGUGUUUAAAAAGUUCCCAGGAGCCAUCGAGUUUGGGAAUCACUGGGCUAGAGUCAAACCAAAACUCAACUUCCUGGCCUUAUUUUAGAUGUUACUUUUUUGUUUCACUUCCAUUGGGCAUGCCAUUCCUCUCUCUUUUCUGUCAGCGUCCCUCAUUAUCUUCAGAAGACAGUUGCAAAGAUGCCUUUCCAGGGAACUUUGUAUUAUUUACACCCUAGAUUAUGCUCCCUGUUUUGUGUGGUGCCUUUCUUACUCUUACUCAUUACUUUUCCGUUUGGAUUUAUUGGACAAGUGAAAUUCACAAAAGCUUCUUUCUUUUUUUUUCAAGACAGUGUCUCGCUCUGUCACCCAGGCUGGAGUGCAGUUGCGUGAUCUCAGCUCACUGCAACCUCCACCUCUCGGGUUCAAGCGAUUCUCCCACCUCAGCCUCCAGAAUAGCUGGGAUUACAGCUGCGCACACCACGCCCAGCUAAUUUGUGUAUUUUUUGUAGAGACGGGGGUUUCACCAUGUUGCCCAGGCUAGUCUCUAACUCCUGGGGUCAAGUGAUCCGCCCACCUCGGCUUCCCAAAGUGCUGGGAUUACAGGCGUGAGCCAUCACGCCAGGAUCGCAAAAGCUUUCUUAUUUCCUUUGCGUUAUGUUUCCCAAAUUAGUGUGUAAGUUUCUUGUGGAAGAGAUAAAAUGUUCUUUAUUAAAUUUUUUUUUUGUGCUUCUGACCAUAGUGGGCACGCAACUAAUGUUCGUGGACAACUGACUCAUUUCUGGUAAACUGAUUUCUUCCUCCAACUUACUAGUAUUAGCAGCUGUAGGAUAUCAGAAUGAAUUAUGACUGUCUUUAUCUUAACUUGACUUCCUAACUCCAAAUUUUAACCUUUCGUCAUCAGUUCCUUAGAAUUUAACUUUCCUUCUUUUCUACUAGUCCAAAUGAAAUAUUUUAAAAUUUCUUAUCUUUAGGCAGUUUUUUGGAAAUUACCUACAUUAGUUAAACCCAGAUGUAAUAAAAGCUACAGCACUGAACUAUACUCUUCUAAACUUCUUGAAGGACAAUGCCAUAUUUGUGUUCCAGGCACAUAGACAAAUAUCUGGUGUAUAGUAGGUGCUCAAUAAAGAUUGGUUGAAUUAAUUGAAUUAAUUCUUUGGUUAAAUUAAGAUUCAUUAGCAGAGAAACUCUGAAUGUAUCUAUCAGGCAAAUCAUUCUGGAAUCAGAUGCAUUUUGAAUAGCAGUAUUUCUCUGCAUUUACCUUUUUAUUAUUCACAAGCUCUGGGAAUCUAACUUUGCUUUUUUAUAUCACUGAGCCUCCCUUAGCUCUUUACUUUGUUGGCAUCCUUUGGAAUUUUGUGUUGGCUCAUUGAGGUCAUUGAUCUGUCUGGCUGUCUGUGGAUUUAUGAAUAACACCAUACUUGAACAGCACCAUUCUAAAUUAUUGCAUACAAUGCACUUAAUUUUGUCCUGAAUCUCAUUAGAGAAAACAAGGAAAAUAUUAUAAAGUAAAAUAAUACAAAUAUUGGUCAGUGUAUUUUACUCAAAGGCAAUCACUGGGAAUUUGUUUGUGUAUUUCCUGCCAAUCUUUUUUAAUGCAUUUUUAAGAAAGCAUGAUAAUGUCUAAAAUUCAACUGUUUAUUUAAUUUUGUAUUUUGGUGUAAUCCUUUAAUAUUGUAACCUAAGUGUUUUCCAAUAUUCUAUAAACUCUUUGUUAAGUUUUACUUAAUGAAUAUAUUGUAUACUGCAGUAUUGUAAAAUGAAUUUGCAAAAAUUUCAAUAAACAAUUUUCUCAUUGUUGA